GAGUUUGAUCGUGGCUCAGAUUGAACGCUGGCGGCAGGCUUAACACAUGCAAGUCGAGCGGGUGAAGUGCUUCGGUACUGAUCCUAGCGGCGGACGGGUGAGUAAUGCUUAGGAAUCUGCCAUUUAGGUGGGGGACAACAUUCCGAAAGGGAUGCUAAUACCGCAUACGUCCUACGGGAGAAAGCAGGGGAUCUUCGGACCUUGCGCUAAAUGAUGAGCCUAAGUCGGAUUAGCUAGUUGGUGGGGUAAAGGCCUACCAAGGCGACGAUCUGUAGCGGGUCUGAGAGGAUGAUCCGCCACACUGGGACUGAGACACGGCCCAGACUCCUACGGGAGGCAGCAGUGGGGAAUAUUGGACAAUGGGCGGAAGCCUGAUCCAGCCAUGCCGCGUGUGUGAAGAAGGCCUUUUGGUUGUAAAGCACUUUAAGCGAGGAGGAGGCUACCUGGAUUAAUACUCUGGGAUAGUGGACGUUACUCGCAGAAUAAGCACCGGCUAACUCUGUGCCAGCAG
rnacentral:rRNA from 1 species